AGCUUUUUGAACCUGUGAUGAGAUUUCGUCAGACACCAACCCGUUAGAGCUGAUCAGACUUCCAAGAUAAGUGAAGUU
rfam:Schistosoma margrebowiei strain Zambia genome assembly, scaffold: SMRZ_scaffold0003557